rnacentral:rRNA from 1 species
CCUACGGGAGUCAGCAGUGAGGACUAUUGGUCAAUGGACGAGAGUCUGAACCAGCCAAGUAGCGUGAAGGAUGACUGCCCUAUGGGUUGUAAACUUCUUUUAUAUGGGAAUAAAAUGUUCCACGUGUGGGAUUUUGUAUGUACCCUAUGAAUAAGGAUCGGCUAACUCCGUGCCAGCAGCCGCGGUAAUACGGAGGAUCCGAGCGUUAUCCGGCUUUAUUGGGUUGAAAGGAUGCGUAGGUGAAUUGUUAAGUCAGUUGUGAAAGUUGGCGGUCCAACCGUAAAAUUGCAGUUGAAACUGGCAGUCUUGAGUACAGGAGAGGUGGGCGGAAUGCGUGGUGUAGCGGUGAAAUGCUUAGAUAUCACGAAGAACUCCGAUUGCGAAGGCAGCUCACUGGACUGCAACUGACACUGAGGCUCGAAAGUGUGGGUAUCAAACAGGAUUAGAUACCCGGGUAGUC